rnacentral:ribozyme from 16 species
CAGCAGGGGAGUUCGGUCACAGGGGCGGCAGCGAUGGGCCCGAGGAGGGCGGCCCUGCUGCCGCCGACAUCGUCGCCCAGCGACCGCCCGCCUCCGGAGAGAUGGCGGUCGACGACGGUGCAGUAGGCGGGAGGAGGCUCAUGUGGUGGAACUGGCUCGUCGCCGGCAGUA